rnacentral:lncRNA from 1 species
AGGGCAGAGGUGCUGGAGAGAGGCCCCAGGCCCCUCCGCCACCGAGGAAGCAAAGAACCCCGUGAACCAAGUCGCCACUCGAGAUUUUACCCAGUGAGAACAUGUUUAGGACACUUUUCUACAGUGGAAGAAAAGCUUCUGUCUGCAGGUCCAAAGGCACCGUCCUGAGUUGGAAAAAGAUGAAUCAGACCCAGUCCCUCCCUGGAGUUGCUCAGAGGUCUGGAGGAGAAAGGCAUAGAGGUACGAUGUCUUCGUAUGCUCACCGUGCCCCAAAUUCGGUUUUCACUUGCAUCCGAGGGUACUGUCUGAGAGAAGGGCAAAAGCCAACAAGAAAAAAAAAAAAGCCUUCCCCAGCACUGGAGAUCUGGCCUCUUCACUUACAUGCUGUCUACAAAUGCACCAUUAUUCUUUCCCUAUCAAAUCGACUCCUUUAAUCUUUUCUACAGCCCUUUCAUCAUCCUUGUUGCUUGUCUCAACCACUUUUAAGUCUGCCAACAUCUUUCUGAUCCUUAAGUAAACAGGACAAAUCACUCUGCUGGGAGGCAUGAACUCUCUGCCCUACCUUGGCCUUCUGGAAGUAACGCUGAUUGAACAACAGACAUGCAGUGGGAGGCUGAGCUCCGUUUCUCAUGCCUGUGUGGAGAGCAACUGCGGAAGGGGCCAUGAUUGAUAUGGAGAGAACAGCUUGUGUGUAGGAGAGAUGUGUAUUUCACGAAGACUGUUCAACAUGAAAUUUACAGUCCCAUAAAGUGCUUCUACAUCUUCGCCAGAGAUCUAGUUAAAAGGACUUUACAGUCUGAAACAUCCUAAAAUUGAUUCUAAAUUAACAUUUCCUCACAUGUAUUUGAGAUAUUGAUGGGGCCCAGCUAUCAGAAUUUUAUUAGGAAGCAAUAAUCUGAGGCAUGCGGAGA